ACUCCUACGGGAGGCUGCAGUGGGGAAUAUUGCACAAUGGGCGCAAGCCUGAUGCAGCAACGCCGCGUGAGGGACGACGGCCUUCGGGUUGUAAACCUCUUUUAGUAGGGAAGAAGCGAAAGUGACGGUACCUGCAGAAAAAGCACCGGCUAACUACGUGCCAGCAGCCGCGGUAAUACGUAGGGUGCAAGCGUUAUCCGGAAUUAUUGGGCGUAAAGAGCUCGUAGGCGGUUUGUCGCGUCUGCUGUGAAAACCCGAGGCUCAACCUCGGGCCUGCAGUGGGUACGGGCAGACUAGAGUGCGGUAGGGGAGAUUGGAAUUCCUGGUGUAGCGGUGGAAUGCGCAGAUAUCAGGAGGAACACCGAUGGCGAAGGCAGAUCUCUGGGCCGUAACUGACGCUGAGGAGCGAAAGCAUGGGGAGCGAACAGGAUUAGAUACCCUGGUAGUCCAUGCCGUAAACGUUGGGAACUAGAUGUAGGGACCAUUCCACGGUUUCUGUGUCGCAGCUAACGCAUUAAGUUCCCCGCCUGGGGAGUACGGCCGCAAGGCUAAAACUCAAAGGAAUUGACGGGGGCCCGCACAAGCGGCGGAGCAUGCGGAUUAAUUCGAUGCAACGCGAAGAACCUUACCAAGGCUUGACAUAUACCGGAAAAGUUCAGAAAUGUUCUCCCCGCAAGGUCGGUAUACAGGUGGUGCAUGGUUGUCGUCAGCUCGUGUCGUGAGAUGUUGGGUUAAGUCCCGCAACGAGCGCAACCCUCGUUCUAUGUUGCCAGCACGUAAUGGUGGGAACUCAUAGGAGACUGCCGGGGUCAACUCGGA
rnacentral:rRNA from 1 species